CCCUUAGAUGUCCUGGGCCGCACGCGCGUUACACUGAUGCAUUCAACGAGCUUAUAACCUUGGCCGAGAGGCCUGGGCAAUCUUGUUAACGUGCAUCGUGAUAGGGAUAGAUUAUUGAAAUUAUUAAUCUUGAACGAGGAAUUCCUAGUAAACGCAGAUCAUCAAUCUGCAUUGAUUACGUCCCUGCCCCUUGUACACACCGCCCGUCGCACCUACCGAUUGGAUGGUCCGGUGAAGCCUCGGGAUUGUGGUUCUUGCCGCUUUAUUGUGGCGUGACCGCGAGAACUUGUCUAAACCUUAUCAUCUAGAGGAAGGUGAANUCGUAACA
rnacentral:rRNA from 1 species